UCCCUAAUCUUCAGUCCCCUUUGAGGGAAACAACUCUCUUAUUCAGUUUUCAGCUUUCAUGGAAUUUUACACUUAAAAUUAUUCCAAUAGUGGAGCAGCCAUUUUCCAAUAACGUGGUCUCAGAUAAUACAGAUGGAAAAUUGCUAUUUGUCACCUUCAUUCCUUACAUCCAACUGUGUAGCAUGCUGUUUAGUUAACUGCAAAUAAAGGAUUAUCUGGCUGUGACCUUUACAAGUACAA